UAUAACAUACACAGAGAUGCAGACACAUUUAAAUGUAUAUAUGUAGGUAUGUAUGCCAUUUUCCAAUCUCCCCUUCCUUCUGAACUGCUUCCCUGCCCUUUGACCCUGU